GGAGAGGAGUCCCUAUUUCUGCCAGCCUAGCAGUAUUCAAAGAUCCUAAACAGAGAACCACACACCAUCUCCUCUGAGCCAUGGACUUCUAGUGUUUGAUAGUUAAUCUAUGAUAAGAUGUCCAUCUUCAUCUAAGAAAACCAUCUUAUUUCUCCUCAUCUGUUUGUCACCACCUACUUGACAGAAAGCAUUGCCUCUGCAUGGGCAGGAUGCCUGCAGAAGUGUUCAGAAAUUGAUUUAUGACGAUGGGAACCAAGGGAGUCCAUGAAGAUUAUCAAGGCAAACUUGGCUGCUGGGUCAGUGGACCAAGGGGAACAGAAGGACAUAUGGUUCCAGGAUGAUAUCUUUCUCUGUGCAAAGCAGACAAUAACUACAAGAAUGGAUAAAGAAGUUCAUCCAUAUAAGCCAGAAAGUGAAACUGACAAUAAACGUGAAAGAAGAUUAUGCUCACCAGGCUGUUGAAGACAAGAAAGUGCAGAUAUAUGUAUUAUUGAAUGAGUACAUUCUAAGUUCAGUAAGUAAGUGGUUUUCACUAGAAAAUCAGGCAAAGACUGGCUCUUUAGAGGUUAGUGACGUAGUACUUUGAUUUCCCCAAAAUAUUUUUAAGUAAAUAGCAUGCAUCUUAUUAGUUCUCUUCUAAUCCUGAAACUUGCUUUAUCCCUGUGCAUUCAUAUGCUUGUGAAUGGUGUCAUUGUUUAAAGUGGAGUCUCACCCAAUACCAAGAUGCCACAAGAUGAAAGCCUCCUUUGCCUAAGGGAUAUUAUUUUCCUGUGUUUUUUUAACACAGGAAACUGUGAUAACUGGUGUUCAUGAUGUUAGCUACAUUUACACUGCUGAUGAUCUGGAUCCUUGCGUGGAAAAACAAACAACAGUCUGAAAUGACUUGGCAUUGAUAGUUUACUAUUUUUGGAGAUGUGUUCAAGUUUCAUUUAUUACAGACUAGACAGCAAGUCAAAUUCAGCUCAGCAAAGGGUACACUAUCCUAUCCUGCACUGCCUGCAGCAUACAUCUCUAAUAGGUUUAUAUGAAGAAAAUUAAAGACUGAGUUCAAAGCAAAUCUAUGUAGUUCUUUUAAGUUAUUUGGAAUAUAUAAUGUAUGUUGUUUUUGAAAGAUACAGUAUAACUUUAUAAAAAACAUUCCCAUGCCACUGAAAAAUGUAGAGUACUUUCAGGAAAUGAACCAGGAGUUGGAUUCAAUGAAACCUGCAGUUCCUUUCCUCUUCAGGAUAUUCAAUACAUAGUGGAAAUGCUAAGUCAUGGCCUGAAACAGUGCUUGAGCACCUGCUAGGAAGGCAGAACCAACCCAGGUGAGCUCAGGUGCACACAGUGUACCUGAGUGACCAGAAGGGAUGGAGCCAGGAUCCACCCCUUCCCAGACUUCAUUUAAGGGUUGGCAGUGGAGGUAAGGAUUCCUUGCUGAAGAUCCCUGCAUAUCCAAGACCUUCUGCAGGUAAAUAGCUUC
rnacentral:lncRNA from 1 species